rnacentral:rRNA from 1 species
UACGUAGGGUGCGAGCGUUAAUCGGAAUUACUGGGCGUAAAGUGUGCGCAGGUGGCCGCGCAAGUCGAGUGUGAAAUCCCCCGAGCUUAACUUGGGAAUUGCGCUCGAAACUACGUGGCUCGAGUGUGGCAGAGGAAGUCGGGUGAAUUCCCGGUGUAGCGGUGAAAUGCGUAGAUGUCGGGAGGAACAUCAGUGGCGAAGGCGGCCUCUG